rnacentral:rRNA from 1 species
AUUUAUUGCCGACGCAAACUUUGCUAGGAGGCGGCUGCUAGAGUACUACGAGCGUGUGCUUAAAACUCAAAGAACUUGGCGGCUUGUUAACUACCCAGGGGAAUAUGCGCCUUAAUCCGAUGAUGCGCGCUACAUCUUACUGCGCCUUGAAAAAGAACAGCUGGUGUAUUGCCGUUGUCAGCCUGUUGUUCGAGCAUAGUGGAACAGGCUAAGUGGAGCUAACGAUAGGUAUCGUUAGAUUCCAGGAAUUCAGGUCGUAAUACUGCCAAUGGUGCAAGGGAGCGGGUAUUACAAUUCUGACUUAGAACUACGGACCCUGAAAAUAAUGAAAUUAUUAGGUGAAGGUGGACUUGGGAGUAAGGAGGGAUUAAUAUGUCUUCCUGAACGUGAAUCUAACUUGUGUACAAACCGCCCGUCGCUCUCCCCGGAAGGGGAGAUAAGU